rfam:Ictidomys tridecemlineatus contig047177, whole genome shotgun sequence.
GGGGUCAUGGCUCAGUAGUAGAGCUCUUGCCUCACAUGUAUGAGGCACUGAGUUCGAUUCUCAGCACCA